rnacentral:miRNA from 1 species
UGGGUUGACCAAAAAGUUCAUUUGGGUUUCUCCAUAAGAUCCAGUGGAAAAACCCAAAUGAACUUUUUGGCCAACCCA